GUGCUUGCUUAGGGAGCACAUAUAUUAAAUUGGAAUGAUACAGAGAUUAGUAUGGCCCCUGCGCAAGGAUGACAUGCAAAUUCGUGAAGCGUUCCAUAUUUUU
ensembl:snRNA Gm25652 predicted gene, 25652